GAAGAUCGGCAUGUCGCUUUCGUGGCAAAUCUUCUAAAUCAAGGUAACUUUUGAGGUCUAGGUUCAAUUCGUUUAUCUGGGUUUAUUUUGUUUCGGUUUAGGGUUCUUCCUUGUCGACUAUAACCCCUUCUCGAUUACCAUCCUCUUUUUGUAGGUAGCUUUGGGCUAGUCUUCACAACUACAGUUAUAUGAACUUCUUAAUCCUUUUCGAUUUUGAUUUGGGGAAUCACAGCAACUAAUCAUUUUGGAUUAAUUUUCUGAUUUUUUCAGGUAGCUCGUUUGCGUCAAGUUUCGCAGAAGACGAAGGUAAUAAUUUGGGGUUUUGGGGUCUAAUUUGGGUUUUGAUUUUAUGACUUAGACUUGUUUCCAUCAGUAAUCGAUUUGUUUUUCAUAAUAAAUGUGUGAUUUUUAGACUCGUGAGAUCAUUCGUAUUUUAAGACUUGUGACUUCUUAAACUUUUGUGUGUUAG
rnacentral:lncRNA from 1 species